GAUGAACGCUGGCGGCGUGCCUAAUACAUGCAAGUCGAGCGAACAGACGAGGAGCUUGCUCCUCUGACGUUAGCGGCGGACGGGUGAGUAACACGUGGAUAACCUACCUAUAAGUCUGGGAUAACUUCGGGAAACCAGAGCUAAUACCGGAUAAUAUAUUGAACCGCAUGGUUCAAUAGUGAAAGACGGUUUUGCUGUCACUUAUAGAUGGAUCCGCGCCGCAUUAGCUAGUUGGUAAGGUAACGGCUUACCAAGGCAACGAUGCGUAGCCGACCUGAGAGGGUGAUCGGCCACACUGGAACUGAGACACGGUCCAGACUCCUACGGGAGGCAGCAGUAGGGAAUCUUCCGCAAUGGGCGAAAGCUUGACGGAGCAACGCCGCGUGAGUGAUGAAGGUCUUCGGAUCGUAAAACUCUGUUAUUAGGGAAGAACAAAUGUGUAAGUAACUAUGCACGUCUUGACGGUACCUAAUCAGAAAGCCACGGCUAACUACGUG
rnacentral:rRNA from 1 species